GACGAACGCUGGCGGCGUGCUUAACACAUGCAAGUCGAACGAAGAGCGAUGGAAGCUUGCUUCUAUCAAUCUUAGUGGCGAACGGGUGAGUAACGCGUAAUCAACCUGCCCUUCAGAGGGGGACAACAGUUGGAAACGACUGCUAAUACCGCAUACGAUCUAAUCUCGGCAUCGAGGAUAGAUGAAAGGUGGCCUCUACAUGUAAGCUAUCACUGAAGGAGGGGAUUGCGUCUGAUUAGCUAGUUGGAGGGGUAACGGCCCACCAAGGCGAUGAUCAGUAGCCGGUCUGAGAGGAUGAACGGCCACAUUGGGACUGAGACACGGCCCAGACGCCUACGGGAGGCAGCAGUGGGGAAUCUUCCGCAAGGGACGAAAGUCUGACGGAGCAACGCCGCGUGAGUGAUGACGGCCUUCGGGUUGUAAAGCUCUGUUAAUCGGGACGAAAGGCCUUCUUGCGAAUAGGGAGAAGGAUUGACGGUACCGGAAGAGAAAGCCACGGCUAACUACGUG
rnacentral:rRNA from 1 species